rnacentral:rRNA from 1 species
AUGGACGGCGAGAUGGGCGAGGACGUGCUGGCGGAGAUCCUCGUCAGGCUGCCGCACAAGUCGCUGGCGCGGUUCCAGUGCGUCUCCACCACGUGGCAGGGCCUCAUCUCCGCCGACUACCUCCGCCGGAGGCUGCCGCUCAUCACGUCCGGCGUGCUGUUCCACGACGGCCCGCGGGACGGCGAGGGCGGGAGGCGGGCGUACACGUACGCGCGCGCGGCGUCCGCGACCGGCGAAGACGGCGGCGGAGUGGCGGAGGCGGACGACAUGUCCUUCUUCCCGUGCCACGCCACGUCCAGCAUCAUCGACGGCUGCAACGGCCUGCUGCUCUACUACGCGUCCUGCCCGGCGGCGUUCCACGUCGUGAACCCGACCACGCGGCGGUGGGCGGCGCUGCCGGAGCCGCGCAGGAAGACGCUGCUCUCCGUGCUGUCCUUCGAUCCCUGCGCCUCCCCGCACUACAAGGUGGUCUGCUUCACCGGGUGGCUGCCCCGGGGCGCCUCCAUCGAGGUGUUCGACUCGGAGACCGGUGCGUGGGGCGAGCACGAGCUCGACUUCGGCCUCGAUACCGACGCCAUGUCUGCCACCAUGCACUGCUUCGGCGGCGCCGUCCACGUGCUGGCAUACUCGGGCCACGUCGUCCGCAUCGACCUCGCCACCAUGGCGUGCACGGUCACCGCGCUCCCGGCGCCCGUGAGCUACCGGGCGCGCGCGGGACACUGCCGCGGCCGGCUCCGGUAUGCGUCCAGCGACGGCUCGCGCCUCACGCUAUGGGAGCUUGUGGACGCGGGCAAAUCCGAGUGGGUGGCGAAGCACGAGCUGGGGGUCUGUGACCUCGUCUCCGGCGGCUCGUGCCACCCCGCUACCGCGACCUUCGUGUUCAUGGCGUUCCACCCGGAGAGGGAGGUGGUGUACCUGUGGACGCCGUCGAAGCUCAUCGCGUUCAACAUGGAGCAGAGGCGCGUCGAGGAGGAGUGCGUGUUCGGGUCCGGGAAAGAAGACGCGCAGCUCAUACAAAUCUGGCUGUUUCCGUUCUCGCGCCAUUUGGCCAGCUGCUUGGCCUGA